rnacentral:rRNA from 1 species
GACAGAGGAUGCGAACGUUGCUCGGAAUUACUGGGCGUAAAGCGCGUGUAGGUGGUUUUGCACGUCCGAUGUGAAAGCCCAGGGCUCAACCCUGGAAGUGCAUUGGAUACGACGAAGCUGGAGUACUGAAGAGGAGAGCGGAAUUCCCGGUGUAGAGGUGAAAUUCGUAGAUAUCGGGAGGAACACCAGUGGCGAAGGCGGCUCUCUGGGCAGAUACUGACACUGAGACGCGAAAGCGUGGGUAGCAAACAGG